GACGAACGCUGGCGGCGUGCUUAACACAUGCAAGUCGAACGAAGAGCGAUGGAAGCUUGCUUCUAUCAAUCUUAGUGGCGAACGGGUGAGUAACGCGUAAUCAACCUGCCCUUCAGAGGGGGACAACAGUUGGAAACGACUGCUAAUACCGCAUACGAUCUAAUCUCGGCAUCGAGGAUAGAUGAAAGGUGGCCUCUACAUGUAAGCUAUCACUGAAGGAGGGGAUUGCGUCUGAUUAGCUAGUUGGAGGGGUAACGGCCCACCAAGGCGAUGAUCAGUAGCCGGUCUGAGAGGAUGAACGGCCACAUUGGGACUGAGACACGGCCCAGACUCCUACGGGAGGCAGCAGUGGGGAAUCUUCCGCAAUGGACGAAAGUCUGACGGAGCAACGCCGCGUGAGUGAUGACGGGCCUUUCGGGUUGUAAAAGCUCUGUUAAUCGGGGCGAAAAGGCCUUUCUG
rnacentral:rRNA from 1 species